ensembl:lncRNA
GUAACCCUGGUCAUAAACAACCCUGGUCAUAAUCACCCUGGUUGUAACCCUCAUCAUAAUCACCCUGGCUGUAACCCUGGUCAUAAUCACCCUGGCAGUAACCCUGGUCAUAAACAACCCUGGUCAUAAUCACCCUGGUUGUAACCCUCAUCAUAAUCACCCUGGCUGUAACCCUGGUCAUAAUCACCCUGGCUGUAACCCUGGUCAUAAUCACCCUGGCUGUAACUCUGGUCAUAAUCACCCUGGCUGUAACUCUGGUCAUAAUCACCCUGGCUGUAACUGGUCAUAAUCACCCUGGCUGUAACUCUGGUCAUAAUCACCCUGGCACCCAGAACCAAAUCUCACAAUGGUAUUACUUUAAACCUGAAAGGAGUGUAUAUGUGCACAGAAUGUUGUUAUUAUUCAUGUUGCUUUUUGAAGUUUUGAUGGUGGAAGUUUGGCCGUAUUACUUUGGGUUGACUUGGGAUUCAACAUCAACAUCGGUCCUCGAUGGUGCAGGUACUAGGGCCCAGUUGGUAACUGGCUGAUGUGGUACAUAUUGAUGUGAUGAUGAUGAUAAUCAUUGGCGUUUAUAAAACAGAUUUCAAAGCGCUUUUAAUUAUAUAGCAGCAUGUGAAAUGAUGGGGCACAACGAUACGUUGUGAAAUGAUGGGGCACAACGAUAUGUUGUGAAAUGAUGGGGUACAACGAUAUGUUGUGAAAUGAUGGGGCACAACGAUA